rnacentral:rRNA from 1 species
UACAGAGGUCCCAAGCGUUGUUCGGAUUCACUGGGCGUAAAGGGUGCGUAGGUGGUGAGGUAAGUCGGAUGUGAAAUCUCCGGGCUCAACCCGGAAACUGCAUUGGAAACUGCCUUGCUAGAGGAUUUGAGGGGGGAGUGGAAUACUUGGUGUAGCAGUGAAAUGCGUAGAUAUCAAGUGGAACACCAGUGGCGAAGGCGAAUCCCUGGAAAAUACCUGACACUGAGGCACGAAAGCUAGGGGAGCAAACAGG